CACCAUGUUACCAUGUCUUUGCACCCCUGUCUCAAGCCAGGAAUGAUAGUGUCCUGUUUACCCAUCUUUGUUUGCUGCUCAACGGUGCCUCUCCUCCUGUGACUAAAGAAUUGUUCCAUGUCCCUUUCCAGAAUUUUUGCUCAUUUCUCUUAUCCCAAGGCUAGCUAACAUUCUCUGGGCCCAAGAAUAUAUGUCUCAACAACAGUGAAAAUCUCACACACUCAAAAGCAGACAAGCUUGGAGGGAACACAUGGAAAAGAAAUAUGUCCCCUUCCAAUAAAGGGGUAAAGAGAUUUAGUUAUCUUUUUGUAGCUUGUCCAUAUCAUCAGCAAAGAUGAAUGUUUGUUGGGCACCUAAUAUGCACAUGAAAGUGUAUUAAUUGCUGGGGGAAAAAAUGCACAUCCUCAACUGACUGGGAAGGAUUCCCAAAGAUAAAGCCACAUUGAGAAUGAACUCAGCAUCCAAAAUUUCAAAACCCAUGAAAAAGCAAUCACAUCAUGAGCUAAUAAUGUCAAUAGAUAGAAGGAAGCCAAGAUCAGAUAAGACUGCAGAACUUUAGGUAAGUGAAUAACAUGAUGGAGACCAUAAAAUUAAAGACUUUAAAUUAUUAAAAGUAUAAAAGAAACAAAAUGAAAAAAAAAAACUAAAAAUGGAACAACCACAAUAGAACAAAAAAGGUGGAUUUGGAAAAGAACCAAAAAGAGCUUAUGGGAAUUUUUUUUUUUAAUGGUCACUGAACUUUUAAAAUUCAGUGAGUAGCAGGGUGCCUGGGUGGCUCAGUUGGUUAAGUGUCUGACUUUGGCUCAGAUGAUGAUCUCACGGUUUGUGAGUUCCAGCUCCACAUCAGGUUCCAGGCUACAGUGUGGAUCCUUUUUGAGAUUCUCUUUCUGCCCCUUCCAUGUGCUUUCUCGCUCUCUUUCUCUCUCUGGAUAAACAUUUUUUUUAAAUGUCAGAAUUAAUAAUAAGUUUAGGUUGUUCAAUAAAAUGUCAAUAGAUAAGAAUCA
rnacentral:lncRNA from 1 species